rnacentral:rRNA from 1 species
AUUGAACGCUGGCGGCAUGCCUUACACAUGCAAGUCGAACGGUAACGCGGGGCAACCUGGCGACGAGUGGCGAACGGGUGAGUAAUGCAUCGGAACGUGCCCAGUUGCGGGGGAUAACUGCUCGAAAGAGCAGCUAAUACCGCAUACGACCUGAGGGUGAAAGCGGGGGCGCGCAAGAUCUCGCGCAAUUGGAGAGGCCGCUGUCGGAUUAGCUAGUUGGUGGGGUAAAGGCCCACCAAGGCGACGAUCCGUAGCAGGUCGGAGAGGGCGACCAGCCACAAUGGGACUGAGACACGGCCCAGACUCCUACGGGAGGCAGCAGUGGGGAAUUUUGGACAAUGGACGCAAGUCUGAUCCAGCCAUGCCGCGUGCGGGAAGAAGGCCUUCGGGUUGUAAACCGCUUUUGUCAGGGAAGAAAUCUUCUGGGCUAAUACCUCGGGAGGAUGACGGUACCUGAAGAAUAAGCACCGGCUAACUACGUGCCAGCCGCCGCCGUAAUAC